rnacentral:rRNA from 1 species
UACGGAGGGUGCAAGCGUUGCUCGGAAUUAUUGGGCGUAAAGGGUAGGUAGGUGGUCUCAUUUGUCAGGGGUGAAAGCCUUGAGCUUAACUCAAGAAGUGCCCCUGAAACGGUGAGACUAGAGUGCUGGAGAGGGUCGCGGAAUUCCCGGUGUAGCGGUGAAAUGCGUAGAGAUCGGGAGGAACACCAGAGGCGAAGGCGGCGACCUGGACAGUUACUGACACUCAACUACGAAAGCGUGGGGAGCAAACAGG